rnacentral:rRNA from 1 species
GAUGAACGCUAGCGGGAGGCUUAAUACAUGCAAGUCGAACGGUAAGGCCCUGCUUGCAGGGUACACGAGUGGCGAACGGGUGAGUAACGCGUACACAACAUGCCUCUAAGUGGGGGAUAGCCUCGGGAAACUGAAAUUAAUACCCCAUAGUAUUAUCUUUUUUAUGAUUGGAUAAUUAAAGCUCCGGCGCUUAGAGAUUGGUGUGCGUCCCAUUAGCUAGUUGGUAAGGUAACGGCUUACCAAGGCUACGAUGGGUAGGGGGCGUGAGAGCGUGACCCCCCACACGGGUACUGAGACACGGACCCGACUCCUACGGGAGGCAGCAGUAAGGAAUAUUGGACAAUGGAGGAAACUCUGAUCCAGCCAUCCCGCGUGCAGGAUUGAAUGCCCUAUGGGUUGUAAACUGCUUUUGUCAGGGAAGAAACCCCGAGAUUUAUCUUGGGCUGACGGUACCUGAAGAAUAAGCACCGGCUAACUCCG